rnacentral:rRNA from 1 species
GCCCAGACUCCUACGGGAGGCAGCAGUGGGGAAUAUUGCACAAUGGGGGAAACCCUGAUGCAGCGACGCCGCGUGAAGGAAGAAGUAUUUCGGUAUGUAAACUUCUAUCAGCAGGGAAGAAAAUGACGGUACCUGACUAAGAAGCCCCGGCUAACUACGUGCCAGCAGCCGCGGUAAUACGUAGGGGGCAAGCGUUAUCCGGAUUUACUGGGUGUAAAGGGAGCGUAGACGGCGAUGCAAGCCAGAUGUGAAAGCCCGGGGCUCAACCCCGGGACUGCAUUUGGAACUGUGUGGCUGGAGUGUCGGAGAGGCAGGCGGAAUUCCUAGUGUAGCGGUGAAAUGCGUAGAUAUUAGGAGGAACACCAGUGGCGAAGGCGGCCUGCUGGACGAUGACUGACGUUGAGGCUCGAAAGCGUGGGGAGCAAACAGGAUUAGAUACCCGCGUA